rnacentral:rRNA from 1 species
UCUGGCUCAGGAUGAACGCUAGCGGCAGGCUUAACACAUGCAAGUCGAGGGGCAUCGGGAGUAGCAAUACUUGCCGGCGACCGGCGCAAGGGUGCGUAACGCGUGAGCAACAUGCCCGUAUCAGGGGGAUAAUCCAUGGAAACGUGGUCUAAUACCCCAUAGUAAUUAUGUAAGGCAUCUUAUAUAAUUUAAAGCUUUGGUGGAUACGGAUUGGCUCGCGUGACAUUAGCUGGAUGGUAAGGUAACGGCUUACCAUGGCUACGAUGUCUAGGGGUUCUGAGAGGAAGGUCCCCCACACUGGAACUGAGACACGGUCCAGACUCCUACGGGAGGCAGCAGUGAGGAAUAUUGGACAAUGGAUGGAAAUCUGAUCCAGCCAUGCCGCGUGCAAGGAAGACGGCCCUAUGGGUUGUAAACUGCUUUUGUAUGGGAGCAAUAAGGGCUACGUGUAGUCCGAUGAGAGUACCAUACGAAUAAGCACCGGCUAACUCCGUGCCAGCCGCUGC